GUCUUGUUGGUGCAGGGACUCGGUCUGCACUGUGGACAUGCAGAAGGAAUCACAUCUACAGGCUUUCCCAAACGCAUGUCACCAUGGGGGUCUUCUUCACAAAUGUCUGGUGGGGCUGGUGUUCUGCAGAAGAUAACUUGAGAAGCACUGAACUCCACUAAGUCCACGAUGCAAGAUCAAGUCCUAAUUCCUCCAGCAGGUCUCUCCGCCUCUCUGAGUUUGUUUCCUAAUCCAUAAAAUAAUAACACCUGCCCUAGCCACUUACUAAGGCUGUUGUUAGUCAAAUGAGACAGAGCUUGUGAAAGCCCUUCGUAAACGCUAAAGCAACACACGUGAGAAAAGUGUUUCCGCAACAGCUCACCGAGAGGUAGGGUAAACCCGCAGGGGUCACGGGAUGGAGUGUCACCAGUGAAACGAAAUGGAAAGUACUCUAACCAAAGCUGUUCUGUGCUGCGCUGGAUAACGAGCAGCACCAGAGUUCCUCCAGCGGUCUACCUCACGGUCAGCGGGACAUAGAGCUGAACGAACACACGAGGCAAACACUUGUACAUUGCCGUGGUGCCAAGACACUGAUGGGAUCCACAGGAACGUCACUUGGGCACUUCUUGUUACUACACAUUUGAUAAGAUGUUUCAACUAGCAAAAAGAGGCCACAGAACCCCAGUGUACCCCACUGGUCUUUAUGCCUCAGCAGCAAGCACCAGGUUCAGUCUGAUCUCCCUAAGAACAGGUGGAAAUGCUACUGAAGCAACUAAAAUGCAAAGAUAACCACUCACCUUGAAGAUCCUAUCCUUCCCAGCAUAGCCACGCAGAAAAACAGGAUGACUACAGGCGUAAGGGACACAGGAAUACAAACUGUCUCCUGACAGAUCUCCUAUAAGCAAGCCCUUUCUUAUCAGACUUGGGUUCUAUUUAACAACAUGAAGAGGCAUUUAAGUUUACAGAUGUAAUCCACGGCAUGGCUUGCAAUCUCCCCACAGAGCUUCGUGAAGCAGGAAGAAAUCAACUGACUGAGGAGACCUAACCCUCACUUCCUAUUUGCCUCUAUGAGCUGUCUAGGGAAGAAAUUCCAUCACGACUACAUGAGAGGUUCCCAGACUUGCAAAUUUUAUGGUCCAGUAAAAUACUCCAAAUUUAGGACACUCACAAGAGAUUGUCAACUCAAUGUUACUAAGGAUAGAACCAGGCUGAGUGGUGGUCCCUGAUGAAACCAGGCUCACAAGUCACACCCCACAGCCAAAGGUGUGGGACGGAGGGAGAGCCGAUUCCAUUCACGGCCACAACACUGACAGGAUCACCACUUGUAAUUAAUGAGUCAAAAUACACCAUCAUGAAGAGAGGAAAUAUUUUAGAUCUGUUCAAGUAUAUAAUUUGACCUUACUACUUACAUAUUAUCAAACUUCCAAUUUAAAUAUGUUCUAGUUUAAAUGGUUUUAAAACAAAUGCAAAAGUUGCUAGAUGUGCAAUACCAACAAAUCUAAAACCGCAACUGGACAUUAAAUUCAAAAUUUUACUUUUAGAAUUAUACAAUUACUCAGCAGGACCACUUAUUUAAAUCCCAUCCCAAACCAAUUAUCUAUUAAUAAAAAACCACAUCAAAAGUAAUUUGUCAAUCAAACCUCAAUAAAGCUGGGAAAAAAUCUAUUCAAAGAAUUCUACCUUAAAGUAUUGUGUUAAAUCAGAAUGUCCUUGGUAACCCUAAAAUGAGUGAAAAUGUUCACUCAAAAAGGUCCAUCUCAUCCUAACAUAAUUAGGUCUACGAGUAUGCCUUCUAUGCCCUGGUCUGAACAAGCUGACCUCAGAAAUCUGCUUUCAAUACAUCAUUCACUGUAACAACCUCAAUUAUUUAGUGUGCCCAACAUCACAGACCGUAACUACUAAAUUCUGAGAUUUCUGAAUAGCAUUAGUUGCAACAUUCUGAGUGAGAUUUUUAAGAAUUUAAAAUUUAUAUUCUAAUUUAACAGAUUGCUGAAUUUUCAGCACUCGUACUGAAAAAAAGGACUAGC
ensembl:lncRNA